rnacentral:lncRNA from 1 species
CAUCCGCUGCACAGAACUUGUUUUUAGUGACAGCAAAUGAAAGCCGUUACUUUGCUAGAUAAUUCCAAGUCCAAGCUUUGUCCAUCUUUGAGAUCAGGGAGAUGGUUUAGUCAUUCUAAGGUAAUUUAACAGGAGUAUUCGAUUUUAUUUUCAAAAUUCUCGAGUUAAUUUCUGCUCACUUAUCAGCAAGAUGUUGUAAAAAAAAAAAAUGCUCAAACACUAUGUUAAACUGUGAUGGAAACAACACAAGCAGGGCCGGUCUCUGGGUUUACAAUUUUAACAGCAAAAAGAGAUGAGGAGAUUAUCUGUUUAAAAGCGUAAAGGUUCUGGAUAAGCAAAUAUUUACAUUUAUAACAUGAAUUGUAUAUGAAAGUUCUGGUCUUUAAGGUAAAAGCGAGUCCAGGAAUUAUACAAAUGAGUUCUGAGUGCAAAGGCAAGAUGCCUGGGAUUUUGGCUUAAAAUGAAUAACCCAAGCGCAAGAGAAUUUGUCAACUUUAACAGGGUAUGUGGUUCAAAGAUUUAAAGAUGAAAGUACCUGGGUGUUUACAGAACUAAAUAAACAAUUUGGGUGAUUUAGGGCAUCCCUUUUCAAAUUUUAAGGCUUUCAGUGCUGAUUAGAUUCAACUUAUAGUUCCUUGCAAAAGCUGAGGCUAGUCUUGGUUAAGUACAGAUGGUACUGCGAGCCCUGCUUAUAGCAGAUGGGUGCAUAUGUAACACAUAAUUUGAAUGCUUUGGGUCAGCAGGUUGCAGUAGAGAUCUGUUUAUUCAGUUUCUUUAAAGUGUGGUAAGUGUACACACUAUGAUAUCUGAAGACUCACAGAUUGAACCUAUCCAAUCAUGACGUCUGCAUAACAGGCCAGUACUGUGCAGGGCUGGCCAUAUUUGAAGCCUGGUCUCUUCUGAAGAAGAAAAAGACUCAAAACCUCAAGAUGAAAUUCUGUUUGUUUGCUCCCCACCCUCAAGAGAUUUGUGGAGGAUGGUAAAUUUGAGGUUAGAGUAAAGAUAUUUACACCUGAAAAGUACCACUAAAUAUAUAGCAAGUUGUAGGUGAAGAUCUUAUAUUCAAAGGCCUCUUGUACUCUUAAUAUAGAUUUUAAAGAAAGCAGACCCGGAGCCCUAGACCCUCUGCAUCCCGGGAGCCCUUUUGCAGAGGCGUUCGCAGACUGGAUCCAAAGGCAAACCAUACAGAGGCAUGGCACUCCUGAAGGUAGACUUGUGCAACGCACAGAGCCGCCGACUUUUAGAUUUGAAAGUUAUUGCGAAGAAAGGCAAAACCAAAACCGUGCGAUUCACACACCCCCCCCCACCCCCCGCCGCCCCGAGGAUGAAUGUGUAGCUGCCCUGGAAGCAGGGAAUCACAGCUAUGUCUUUUCUUAUGAUCACACAUCUUAAUAAAGUGCGAAGAGGAGUUCUAUUCCUGUCUCCACAGGUUUUCAGUACUCUAGGUUCAGGGUGGCCCAGUGCUGGCCCUGGGGUCCCUGUGCUUGGCUCCCACAUCACCCUCGCGGGCAGCAGACCACAAACCUGCUUUUGGUCAGGCUGGGUGCUUGUUUAGUCUGUUGCAUACCACCAGGUUCAGCCUUCUUUCUGAGAUUUGGCCGUUUGCUGUGGGCUUUACUCAGCAAACCUGGUCGGCGAACUGAUGCUGGGUACAGUAAGAGGCCCUAAGGUAUGGGCCCAAAGCGGUAAGGGCGUUGGGUGUAGGCCGAGGAGUGGACCAUGGGCCUUGGGCGGGUGAUCCCGGAGUGUGGGGCACGCCUGGCCAGGCUGUGCUGACAAGCAGGUGUUGGAACAAAGGCAGCGGGUCUACCCAGGCCUUUGAUGGGCAAGGAUGUCUCCUCCUGGGGCUCCUCAUUCGCAUGCAAAUCCAGUGCUGGUCCCCCCCACCCCACCCCUUUUCUUUGAAGGCAAACAGAAGGAUGUUUGUGUGUUUGUAGGCAAGAAGGCUGCUCGAACAGGCCUUCCUCAAUAGCCUGGGUCUCGAAAAAUAAACCAGUUGGACAAACAUUGGCCACCAGCUCUCCUCCUCCCGACUACAAAGUGUGGAUUUGCUACAACUCAUUAACCCGACGCCUUUCUCUCCUCUCCUUGUUUCUUUACUCAUCAAACGCCCCCGUAGAGCUUGGAGACAAAUGACCGAAGCGCUGUCGGGAGGGAAUUGCAGUUAAUGGGGAGAGGGAUAUAUUGGGGCUAAUGGUUCAGGCAGCUCCCGAGGAAGGACCACACAAAAAGGAGCCUCUCCAUUCAAGGCUCUGUUGUGCUGCGGGGAUUUAAUCUGCAGCUAGAUUUAGCCAAAUGUUAUCUAUUGCGGGGGUAAUGAAGCCCUUAUGGGCUGAAUCGCUCCUUGUACCACACAUGGUGUCAUGACCUCAGAUUGCUUCUUGGUUGAUUUCUUUCUCUAUCGGGUAAUUAUUUUAUGUCUU